AUUGAACGCUGGCGGCAUGCCUUACACAUGCAAGUCGAACGGUAACGCGGGGGCAACCCUGGCGACGAGUGGCGAACGGGUGAGUAGCGCAUCGGAACGUGCCCAGUAGUGGGGGAUAGCUCGGCGAAAGCCGGAUUAAUACCGCAUACGACCCACGGGUGAAAGCGGGGGACCGCAAGGCCCCGCGCUAUUGGAGCGGCCGGUGCCCGAUUAGCUAGUUGGUGAGGUAAAGGCUCACCAAGGCGACGAUCGGUAGCUGGUCUGAGAGGACGACCAGCCACACUGGGACUGAGACACGGCCCAGACUCCUACGGGAGGCAGCAGUGGGGAAUUUUGGACAAUGGGGGAAACCCUGAUCCAGCCAUGCCGCGUGCGGGAAGAAGGCCUUCGGGUUGUAAACCGCUUUUGGCAGGAACGAAACGGCGCGGGCUAACACCUCGCGCUAAUGACGGUACCUGCAGAAUAAGCACCGGCUAACUACGUGCCAGCAGCCGCCGUAACAC
rnacentral:rRNA from 1 species